CAAAUACUCCCUCCGUCCGGACAUACUUGUCAUCAAAAUGGAUAAAAGGAAAUGUAUCUAGACGUAUUUUAGUUUUAGAUACAUCUCUUUUUAUCCAUUUUGAUGACAAGUAUUUUCGGAUGGAGGGAGUAUUUA
rfam:Triticum aestivum genome assembly, contig: Triticum_aestivum_CS42_TGACv1_scaffold_147842_2BS